GUUCUGUCAGUGCUGUCAGCCUUGAUUGCUGAAGUAUUCGACAAAUCCCUUCCUUUGGGCCUCAGUCAUUGCCAGCUGCCAUGAUCAUUUGUAGGCACUCUUGAGAUCUAGUCGGAAUAGGUUGGUUGGCCCUAUUUUGCUUUGGCUAAUCUCCUAUCGCACCUAAUUGCCGUGCUCCUUCACCAUGGAUAGCGGCCACCAUCUGCCCCCU
rnacentral:lncRNA from 1 species